rnacentral:lncRNA from 1 species
CGUGGAGGGGAAGCUCCGGGGCUUCCAGUGCGUGCGGAAGGCCCUGUCUUGAGACGUGCCAGCAAUGUCUAAGAGUCUGUUUGGAGCUUCCUAGAAGUUGAGGGCAAUCGGAAGAUCAAGAGUCAUGUUUGAGUCUAUCUUCCAGAUGACUAGAACACAUCUGUGCAGAUAUACUCCAGUUUGAAGGUCACUGCUCCUGAGAACCAAGUAACUGACUGGCUUAGACCUUAAAGGAAAGACACAUUGACAAUACUGUGAUGAGAAGGGUCAAAGUUGUCUCCAGCCUUGCUUCUUCGACAAAGGACCUUAGCUACUUGUUACCAUCAACAUAACACCUGAGUUCACUAGAUUUCAACUGAGACCUGCUACUCAUCCUGCAUUACUUGCACCAAAAUAUGAAACUAGAAUUCAUCUUAUUACCUCUAGAAAGACCUUCUUUUUCUACACAUUAUUCAUUCAUCACUAACCAACCCAUUAUUUAAUCCAGAGAGGCCAUCUACCCAGCUUAAAAACACCUGUACAAAGACAUAAAACAAAUGAUCAUCUCAUUAGAUGCAGAAAAGGCCUUUGACAAAAUUCCACAUCCCUUCAUGAUAAAAGUCCUGGAAAGACUAGGGAUACAAGGGACAUUCCUAAACAUAAUAAAGUAGUUUACAGCAAGCCCACAGCCAAC